rnacentral:rRNA from 1 species
UCGCCCUUAGAGUUUGAUCCUGGCUCAAGACGAACGCUGGCGGCGCGCCUAACACAUGCAAGUCGAACGAGCGAGAGAGAGCUUGCUUUCUCGAGCGAGUGGCGAACGGGUGAGUAACGCGUGAGGAACCUGCCUCAGAGAGGGGGACAACAGUUGGAAACGACUGCUAAUACCGCAUACGCCCACGGUGCCGCAUGGCACAGAAGGAAAAGGAGCAAUCCGCUUUGAGAUGGCCUCGCGUCCAAUUACCUAGUUGGGGAGGUAACGGCCCACCAAGGCGACGAUCGGUAGCCGGACUGAGAGGUUGAACGGCCACGUUGGGACUGACACACGGCCCAUACUCCUACGGGAGGCAGCAGUGGGGAAUAUUGCACGAUGAGGGAAACCCUGAUGCAGCCACGCCGCGUGGAGGAAGAAGGUCUUCAGAUUGUAAACUCCUGUUGGUGGGGAACAUAAUGACGGUACCCAACAGGGAGGUGACGGCUAACUACCUGCCAGCAGCCGCGGUAAAACGUAGGUCACAAGCGUUGUCCGGAAUUACUGGGUGUAAAGGGAGCGCAGGCGGGAAGACAAGUUGGAAGUGAAAUCUAUGGGCUCAA